rnacentral:lncRNA from 1 species
UCAAAUCUUAAACCUAGGCUUGAGUUUUAAAUUAACACAUCAAAUAGUCUUCUACAAUUAUAAGUAAAAUCCAGUAGCCCAAUCCAAACAUGAGAAUUCAAAUAAUUAGAAUUCUCCCAUCAAUAUGCAUACUCUAUGGCCUCAAAAUAAUCAAAUACAUCCAUAAGAAAUAGACCUAUUUGCAAUAUCCAACAUGCCAACACCAGAUAUAAUCCACAUACAUUUUCAACUUCGAAGAACGUUCCUUUCAAUAUUAUGAAAUCUCCUUAGCUUACUC